rnacentral:misc_RNA from 1 species
UUGCUGUGUGAUGUACUGAAUUUCACAUGGACAGUUGAUUCCAGGCAAGCAGCCUCAUAAGAGCAGCAACUCCUGCAACAUGAAAUUCAGUACAUCACACAGCAAAUAAGUUAAGUUAUUUUCUCUAGUUCUCACAACCCAGAGCAUUUCGCUACUGAAAUGAAGCUGAUUUGGCUUAUGGGAAAGUCGAACACAGCAUACAAAUACAGUUUCUAAACAUGAAAC